AAGAAAAUGACAGAGUGGUGAUGUGGUUGACUUGAAAUCAGCAUAUGGGGGUUCGAUUCCCUCUUUUCUCG
rnacentral:tRNA from 1 species